rnacentral:rRNA from 1 species
UACGUAGGGGGCAAGCGUUGUCCGGAUUUAUUGGGCGUAAAGAGCGUGUAGGCGGCCAUACAGGUCAGCUGUGAAAACUCGAGGCUCAACCUCGAGACGUCGUUUGAAACCGUUUGGCUAGAGUCCGGAAGAGGAGAGUGGAAUUCCCGGUGUAGCGGUGAAAUGCGCAGAUAUCGGGAAGAACACCCGUGGCGAAGGCGGCUCUCUGGGACGGUACUGACGCUGAGACGCGAAAGCGUGGGGAGCGAACAGG